rnacentral:rRNA from 1 species
AUUGAACGCUGGCGGCAGGCCUAACACAUGCAAGUCGAGCGGAUGAAGGGAGCUUGCUCCUGGAUUCAGCGGCGGACGGGUGAGUAAUGCCUAGGAAUCUGCCUGGUAGUGGGGGAUAACGUCCGGAAACGGGCGCUAAUACCGCAUACGUCCUGAGGGAGAAAGUGGGGGAUCUUCGGACCUCACGCUAUCAGAUGAGCCUAGGUCGGAUUAGCUAGUUGGUGGGGUAAAGGCCUACCAAGGCGACGAUCCGUAACUGGUCUGAGAGGAUGAUCAGUCACACUGGAACUGAGACACGGUCCAGACUACUACGGGAGGCAGCAGUGGGGAAUAUUGGACAAUGGGCGAAAGCCUGAUCCAGCCAUGCCACGUGUGUGAAGAAGGUCUUCGGAUUGUAAAGCACUUUAAGUUGGGAGGAAGGGCAGUAAGUUAAUACCUUGCUGUUUUGACGUUACCAACAGAAUAAGCACCGGCUAACUUCGUG